rnacentral:rRNA from 1 species
CUCAUAAGUUAGACAAUAAGAGGAACCACCUUAGUACUUUAAAUAGCUUAAAUUAAAGGAAUUAAGUUGGUGGCACAUAAUCGGGGGCCACGACUGUUUACUAAAAACACAAAUAUCUGCCACUAUGAAUAAUAUUAGUAUAGGUAUUGAAAUUUGCUCGAUGCCGCGAGAUGAAGACGAUUAAUGAUAAAUUUGUUGAGACUCAAACCUCCGGUGAAUGGCGGCCUUAUAAGUGAGGGUCCUAAGGUAGCAAAAUCAAUUGGCCAUUGAAUGUGGUCCAGUAUCAAUAAUCCAACGAUGGUCCCACUGUCUCUACAACUUGCUCAGUGAAAUUGAAUUGUGAGUGAAGAUGCUCACUGCCUCCGGUAGGACGGGAAGACCC